GCCUCACCUACAAUAAGAAAAUAAAGCCCCAUGUAUGCCUAAAGCAAGGGCGAUGCCCAUGCUCCAUUUUUUAAUUUUUUCGAAAAUGGGCCUCGGUGGGCCCACCGUGUCCCGGGAAAUUUUUCGACAUCCAGGACGGGGCGGAGGGAGCUGGGGUGUUUGCGGGCCAAUUCCGUGGAUACCGAUGCCUAUCUUGGAGCCCAGACAUGCCCCCGUGCCCAGGCUCCCCAGU
rnacentral:lncRNA from 1 species